rnacentral:rRNA from 1 species
AUUGAACGCUGGCGGCAGGCCUAACACAUGCGAGUCGAGCGGAUGAAGGGAGCUUGCUCCUGGAUUCAGCGGCGGACGGGUGAGUAAUGCCUAGGAAUCUGCCUGGUAGUGGGGAUAACGUCCGGAAACGGGCGCUAAUACCGCAUACGUCCUGAGGGAGAAAGGGGGGGAUCUUCGGACCUCACGCUAUCAGAUGAGCCUAGGUCGGAUUAGCUAGUUGGUGGGGUAAAGGCCUACCAAGGCGACGAUCCGUAACUGGUCUGAGAGGAUGAUCAGUCACACUGGAACUGAGACACGGUCCAGACUCCUACGGGAGGCAGCAGUGGGGAAUAUUGGACAAUGGGCGAAAGCCUGAUCCAGCCAUGCCGCGUGUGUGAAGAAGGUCUUCGGAUUGUAAAGCACUUUAAGUUGGGAGGAAGGGCAGUAAGUUAAUACCUUGCUGUUUUGACGUUACCAACAGAAUAAGCACCGGCUAACUUCGUG